GAUUGAACGCUGGCGGCAUGCCUUACACAUGCAAGUCGAACGGUAACAGGUCUUCGGAUGCUGACGAGUGGCGAACGGGUGAGUAAUACAUCGGAACGUGCCCGAUCGUGGGGGAUAACGGAGCGAAAGCUUUGCUAAUACCGCAUACGAUCUACGGAUGAAAGCAGGGGACCGCAAGGCCUUGCGCGGACGGAGCGGCCGAUGGCAGAUUAGGUAGUUGGUGGGAUAAAAGCUUACCAAGCCGACGAUCUGUAGCUGGUCUGAGAGGACGACCAGCCACACUGGGACUGAGACACGGCCCAGACUCCUACGGGAGGCAGCAGUGGGGAAUUUUGGACAAUGGGCGAAAGCCUGAUCCAGCCAUGCCGCGUGCAGGAUGAAGGCCUUCGGGUUGUAAACUGCUUUUGUACGGAACGAAAAGACUCUUUCUAAUAAAGAGGGUCCAUGACGGUACCGUAAGAAUAAGCACCGGCUAACUACGUG
rnacentral:rRNA from 1 species